rnacentral:rRNA from 1 species
UACGAAGGGGGCUAGCGUUACUCGGAUUGACUGGGCGUAAAGGGCUCGUAGGCGGCCAACUAAGUCAGACGUGAAAUCCCUCGGCUUAACCGGGGAACUGCGUCUGAUACUGGAUGGCUUGAGUUCGGGAGAGGGAUGUGGAAUUCCAGGUGUAGCGGUGAAAUGCGUAGAUAUCUGGAGGAACACCGGUGGCGAAGGCGGCAUCCUGGACCGACACUGACGCUGAUGAGCGAAAGCCAGGGGAGCAAACGGG